AUGUUUGAGAAAUAAAUAAAAAAUAAGAUUCGAUACUAGUGUGCUACGAUUUCAAGAUAGAUUCCUCUGCCGCGUGGUUCUACACCCUGAGUUCUUUCCACCUACUAAGCAGGUAAAAUAAUAUCUAGAUUAAAACAAAGAGGUUUCAGCAGAGGUCGGUGCGCUCAGUUACUCAUUCAACACCUGUCAGAUGGUAAUGUGACAUCUGAGGUGUCAAACGUCUUCACGUGGUAUUGUUACUUUGAUACAAGCAUUGGCACGUUGUGUCAAAUCAGUAGUGAUUUGAAAAUUGCAUUGGAGUGCCAGAGCUCAAUCAUCCCAUCACUACCCGUGGGCUUUUGUUGUGGCAGUUCACCUUACGUUUGUGAGACCACAAGGCCAUAGGCUACUGCCCCUCGUAGGCCACCAUAGCCCAUCACUACCUGAUCAAUAAACUCCAAGGGAACCAGUCGGUAUUGGUUGAGAAUCCAGACUGUCUAAGCUUGAUGCCGACCUGACUAGAGAUUUGGGAGAGAACGUCUCAAGGACAAAGUCACUAUCUCUGUCAGCUGGGAAGAGACGCAGAAUGUGUGCGUAGCAGGACAUGUGUGUGCGUAUGUGUGUGUAUGUUUGUGUGUAUGUGUGGGUGUGAGAAGUCAGUAUAAAAUGAAUUGAUUUGUAUUCUUGACUUCAAAACGUUCCGUGAAUAAAACUUUUUGACCAUUUA